GGUUAAGCUAUUAAGGGCGCACGGAGGAUGCCUAGGCGCCAGGAGCCUAAGAAGGACGCGGCGAACAGCGAAAUUGCCUCGGGGAGCCGUAAGCAGGCUUUGAUCCGGGGAUGUCCGAAUGGGGAAACCCGGCUGGGGUCAUGCCCAGUCACCUAUGAGUGAAUACAUAGCUCAUAAGGAGGCACACCCAGGGAACUGAAACAUCUAAGUACCUGGAGGAGAAGAAAACAAGAGUGAUUCCGUCAGUAGCGGCGAGCGAAAGCGGAUUAGCCCAAACCUGAGAGCUUGCUCUCAGGGGUUGUGGGACGUCUCACAUGGAGUUACAAAGGAGCAGGUUAGGCGAAGAGGUCUGGAAAGGCCCGGCAUAGAAGGUAAAAGCCCUGUAGCCAAAAAUCUGUUCCCUCCGAGACGGAUCCCGAGUACCGCGGGACACGAGAAACCCCGUGGGAAUCCGGCAGGACCAUCUGCCAAGGCUAAAUACUCCCUGGCGACCGAUAGUGAAGCAGUACCGUGAGGGAAAGGUGAAAAGCACCGCGGGAGCGGAGUGAAAAAGAACCUGAAACCGUGCGCUUACAAGAAGUCAGAGCCCGAUCUAGGGGUGAUGGCGUGCCUUUUGUAGAAUGAACCGGCGAGUUACGUUUACGUGCGAGGUUAAGUCGGAGAGACGGAGCCGCAGCGAAAGCGAGUCUGAAUAGGGCGCUUUAGUACGUAGUCGUAGACCCGAAACCGGGUGAUCUACCCCUGUGCAGGGUGAAGGUGAGGUAACACUUACUGGAGGCCCGAACUCGUGAGCGUUGAAAAGCUCUGGGAUGACGUGGGGGUAGGGGAGAAAUUCCAAUCGAACUCGGAGAUAGCUGGUUCUCCCCGAAAUAGCUUUAGGGCUAGCCUCGAGAUUUAGCAUCAUGGAGGUAGAGCACUGAUUGGGUGCGGGGCCCGCCAAGGGUUACCAAGUCCAGUCAAACUCCGAAUGCCAUGGAUGUAUGCUCGGGAGUCAGACGGCGAGUGCUAAGAUCCGUCGUCAAGAGGGAAAGAGCCCAGAUCAUCAGCUAAGGUCCCCAAGUGUGUGUUAAGUGGGAAAGGAUGUGGAGUUGCGAAGACAACCAGGAUGUUGGCUUAGAAGCAGCCACCAUUUAAAGAGUGCGUAAUAGCUCACUGGUCGAGUGACUCUGCGCCGAAAAUGUAACGGGGCUAAACACACCACCGAAGCUAUGGCAUGUACCUUUUGGUACUUGGGUAGGGGAGCGUUGAAUGCGGGUUGAAGUCGGACCGAGAGGACCGGUGGACUGCAUUCAAGUGAGAAUGCCGGUAUGAGUAACGAAAAGACAGGUGAGAAUCCUGUCCGCCGAAAGCCUAAGGGUUCCUGAGGAAGGUUCGUCCGCUCAGGGUAAGUCGGGACCUAAGGCGAGGCCGAAAGGCGUAGUCGAAGGACAACAGGUUGAAAUUCCUGUACCACCGUAAUCCGUUAUGAGCGAUGGGGGGACGCAGGAGGGCAAGAACGCGAGCUGAUGGAAUAGCUCGUCCAAGCAGUGAGGGGUGUGUGUAGGCAAAUCCGCACACUAAUACCUUGAGCUGUGAUGGGGAGGGAAAAUUACAGUACCGAAGGUUCCGUGCUCACGCUGCCGAGAAAAGCCUCUAGCCAGGAGAAGGUGCCCGUACCGCAAACCGACACAGGUAGGCGAGAAGAGAAUUCUAAGGCGCGCGGAAGAACUCUCGUUAAGGAACUCGGCAAAAUGACCCCGUAACUUCGGGAGAAGGGGUGCCUCGGUAGGGUGAAUAGCCCGAGGGGGCCGCAGUGAAUAGGCCCAAGCGACUGUUUAGCAAAAACACAGGUCUGUGCGAAGCCGUAAGGCGAAGUAUACGGGCUGACGCCUGCCCGGUGCUGGAAGGUUAAGGGGAGCGGUUAGGGGCAACCCGAAGCUGUGAACCGAAGCCCCAGUAAACGGCGGCCGUAACUAUAACGGUCCUAAGGUAGCGAAAUUCCUUGUCAGGUAAAUUCUGACCCGCACGAAUGGCGUAACGACUUGGGCGCUGUCUCAACGAGAGAUCCGGUGAAAUUUUAGUACCUGUGAAGAUGCAGGUUACCCGCGACGUGACGGAAAGACCCCAUGGAGCUUUACUGUAGCUUGAUAUUGAACUUGGGUACGGUCUGUACAGGAUAGGUGGGAGCCUAAGAAGUUGGAGCGCAAGCUUCAAUGGAGGCGCCGUUGGGAUACCACCCUGAUCGUAUCUAGGUUCUAACCUGUCACCGUGAAUCCGGUGAAGGGACCGUGUCAGGCGGACAGUUUGACUGGGGCGGUCGCCUCCUAAAGCGUAACGGAGGCGCCCCAAGGUUCCCUCAGAAUGGUUGGAAAUCAUUCGAAGAGUGCAAAGGCAUAAGGGAGCUUGACUGCGAGACCUACAAGUCGAGCAGGGACGAAAGUCGGGCUUAGUGAUCCGGUGGUACCGAAUGGAAGGGCCAUCGCUCAACGGAUAAAAGCUACCCUGGGGAUAACAGGCUUAUCUCCCCCAAGAGUCCACAUCGACGGGGAGGUUUGGCACCUCGAUGUCGGCUCAUCGCAUCCUGGGGCUGAAGUAGGUCCCAAGGGUUGGGCUGUUCGCCCAUUAAAGCGGUACGCGAGCUGGGUUCAGAACGUCGUGAGACAGUUCGGUCCCUAUCUGUCGCGGGCGUAGGAAAUUUGAGAGGGGCUGUCCUUAGUACGAGAGGACCGGGAUGGACGCACCGCUGGUGUACCAGUUGUUCCGCCAGGAGCAUCGCUGGGUAGCCAAGUGCGGGAGGGAUAAGCGCUGAAAGCAUCUAAGCGCGAAGCCCGCCUCAAGAUGAGAUUUCCCAAUUAGUAAGACCCCUUGGAGAACACGAGGUUGAUAGGCUCGGGGUGGAAGCGCAGCAAUGCGUGCAGCUGACGAGUACUAAUCGGUCGAGGGCUUAUCCUA
rnacentral:rRNA from 1 species